UACGUAGGGUGCAAGCGUUAAUCGGAAUUACUGGGCGUAAAGCGUGCGCAGGCGGUUCGUUGUGUCGGUGGUGAAAGCCCCGGGCUCAACCUGGGAACUGCAUCUGUGACUGCAUUGCUGGAGUGCGGCAGAGGGGGAUGGAAUUCCGCGUGUAGCAGUGAAAUGCGUAGAUAUGCGGAGGAACACCGAUGGCGAAGGCAAUCCCCUGGGCCUGCACUGACGCUCAUGCACGAAAGCGUGGGGAGCAAACAGG
rnacentral:rRNA from 1 species